GGGCUUUGGCUCACUGGUAAAGCAUCAGCUUGGCAUGCAGAAGGUUCCAGGUUCAAUUCCCAGCAAGUCCA
rnacentral:tRNA from 1 species